AGAGUUUGAUCCUGGCUCAGGACGAACGCUGGCGGCGUGCCUAACACAUGCAAGUCGAACGAAGCAUUUGGAGCUGAUCCCUUCGGGGUGACGCACCUUAUGACUUAGUGGCGGACGGGUGAGUAACACGUGAGCAACCUGCCUCUCAGAGUGGAAUAACAGUUGGAAACGGCUGCUAAUACCGCAUAACGUUUUUGUGCCGCAUGACACUUUAACCAAAGAUUUAUCGCUGAGAGAUGGGCUCGCGUCCGAUUAGGUAGAUGGUGGGGUAACGGCCUACCAUGCCGACGAUCGGUAGCCGGACUGAGAGGUUGAUCGGCCACAUUGGGACUGAGACACGGCCCAGACUCCUACGGGAGGCAGCAGUGGGGGAUAUUGCACAAUGGGCGCAAGCCUGAUGCAGCAACGCCGCGUGCGGGAAGACGGCCUUCGGGUUGUAAACCGCUGUCCUUGGGGAAGAAACAAAUGACGGUACCCAAGAAGGAAGCCACGGCUAACUACGUGCCAGCAGCCGCGGUAAUACGUAGGGGGCGAGCGUUGUCCGGAAUGAUUGGGCGUAAAGGGCGUGUAGGCGGCCUGUUAAGUCUGGAGUGAAAGUCCUGUUUUCAAGAUGGGAAUUGCUUUGGAUACUGGCGGGCUUGAGUGCAGGAGAGGUUAUCGGAAUUCCCGGUGUAGCGGUGAAAUGCGUAGAGAUCGGGAGGAACACCAGUGGCGAAGGCGGGUAACUGGACUGCAACUGACGCUGAGGCGCGAAAGUGUGGGGAGCAAACAGGAUUAGAUACCCUGGUAAUCCACACUGUAAACGAUGAAUGCUAGGUGUAGGGGGUAUCGACCCCUUCUGUGCCGCAGUAAACACAAUAAGCACUCCGCCUGGGGAGUACGGCCGCAAGGUUGAAACUCAAAGGAAUUGACGGGGGCCCGCACAAGCAGUGGAGUAUGUGGUUUAAUUCGAAGCAACGCGAAGAACCUUACCAAGUCUUGACAUCCUGCGAAUUUACCAGAGAUGGUUUAGUGCCCUUCGGGGAACGCAGAGACAGGUGGUGCAUGGUUGUCGUCAGCUCGUGUCGUGAGAUGUUGGGUUAAGUCCCGCAACGAGCGCAACCCUUGCCAUUAGUUGCUACGUAAGAGCACUCUAAUGGGACUGCCGUUGACAAAACGGAGGAAGGUGGGGACGACGUCAAAUCAUCAUGCCCCUUAUGACUUGGGCUACACACGUACUACAAUGGUCGUAAACAGAGGGAUGCAAGGGAGCGAUCCGGAGCCAACCCCUAAAAACGAUCCCAGUUCAGAUUGCAGGCUGCAACUCGCCUGUAUGAAGUUGGAAUUGCUAGUAAUCGCAGAUCAGCAUGCUGCGGUGAAUACGUUCCCGGGCCUUGUACACACCGCCCGUCACACCAUGGGAGCCGGUAAUACCCGAAGUCAGUAGUCUGACCGCAAGGAGGACGCUGCCGAAGGUAGGAUUGGCGACUGGGGUGAAGUCGUAACAAGGUAACC
rnacentral:rRNA from 1 species